rnacentral:tRNA from 1 species
ACAGAGCGUAGUUUAAUUUAGAAUUCUAGCUUUGGGAGCUAGUGGUAGGAGUUAAAAUCCCCUCGUUCUGA